rnacentral:rRNA from 1 species
UACGUAGGGUGCAAGCGUUUGUCCGGAAUCAUUGGGCGUAAAGAGCUCGUAGGUGGUUUGUUACGUCUGCUGUGAAAUCCUAGGGCUUAACCCUGGGCUUGCAGUGGGUACGGGCAGACUAGAGUGCGGUAGGGGAGAUUGGAAUUCCUGGUGUAGCGGUGGAAUGCGCAGAUAUCAGGAGGAACACCGAUGGCGAAGGCAGAUCUCUGGGCCGUAACUGACGCUGAGGAGCGAAAGCGUGGGGAGCGAACAGG